rnacentral:rRNA from 1 species
AUUGAACGCUGGCGGAAUGCUUUACACAUGCAAGUCGAGCGGCAGCGCGGCCUUCGGGCUGGCGGCGAGCGGCGAACGGGUGAGUAAUGCAUCGGAACAUGCCCAGUCGUGGGGGAUAACACUUCGAAAGAAGUGCUAAUACCGCAUACGUCCUGAGGGGGAAAGCGGGGGAUCGCAAGACCUCGCGCGAUUGGAGUGGCCGAUGUCAGAUUAACUAGUUGGUGGGGUAAAGGCCUACCAAGGCGACGAUCUGUAGCUGGUCUGAGAGGAUGAUCAGCCACACUGGGACUGAGACACGGCCCAGACUCCUACGGGAGGCAGCAGUGGGGAAUUUUGGACAAUGGGGGCAACCCUGAUCCAGCCAUUCCGCGUGAGUGAAGAAGGCCUUCGGGUUGUAAAGCUCUUUCGGCAGGAACGAAACGGUGGGCUCUAACAUAGUCCGCUAAUGACGGUACCUGAAGAAGAAGCACCGGCUAACUACGUG